UGCCUGCGGAGGGAUCAUUACAGAGUUAUACAACUCCCAUACCAUCUGUUAACCUACCCAGUUAUGCCUCGGCGUAAGCUCGGUUGGAGGCACCUGCAGCUACCCUGUAGUUGCGGACUGCCAACUCCAGCCGCGGCCCGCCGGCGGUACACUAAACUCUGUUUUAUUUUAUAUUCUGAGCGUCUUAUUUUAAUAAGUUAAAACUUUCAACAACGGAUCUCUUGGUUCUGGCAUCGAUGAAGAACGCAGCGAAAUGCGAUAAGUAAUGUGAAUUGCAGAAUUCAGUGAAUCAUCGAAUCUUUGAACGCACAUUGCGCCCAUCAGUAUUCUGGUGGGCAUGCCUGUUCGAGCGUCAUUUCAACCCUUAAGCCUAGCUUAGUGUUGGGAAUCUGCUGUACUGCAGUUCCUUAAAGACAGUGGCGGAGCGGCGGUAGUCCUCUGAGCGUAGUAAUUUAUUUCUCGCUUUUGUCAGGCUCUGUCCUCCCGCCAUAAAACCCCCAAUUGGGUAGGGUGACCUCUGAUCAGUUACACUCCCAUACCAUCUGUUAACCUACCCAGUUAUGCCUCGGCGUAAGCUCGGUUGGAGGCACCUGCAGCUACCCUGUAGUUGCGGACUGCCAACUCCAGCCGCGGCCCGCCGGCGGUACACUAAACUCUGUUUUAUUUUAUAUUCUGAGCGUCUUAUUUUAAUAAGUUAAAACUUUCAACAACGGAUCUCUUGGUUCUGGCAUCGAUGAAGAACGCAGCGAAAUGCGAUAAGUAAUGUGAAUUGCAGAAUUCAGUGAAUCAUCGAAUCUUUGAACGCACAUUGCGCCCAUCAGUAUUCUGGUGGGCAUGCCUGUUCGAGCGUCAUUUCAACCCUUAAGCCUAGCUUAGUGUUGGGAAUCUGCUGUACUGCAGUUCCUUAAAGACAGUGGCGGAGCGGCGGUAGUCCUCUGAGCGUAGUAAUUUAUUUCUCGCUUUUGUCAGGCUCUGUCCUCCCGCCAUAAAACCCCCAAUUUUUUAGUGGUUGACCUCGGAUCAGGUAGGAAUACCCGCUGAACUUAAGCAUAUCAAAAGGCGGGGAGGAA
rnacentral:misc_RNA from 1 species